UAAAUAAAUAAAAUGAAGAGCUAGAAAAGUGGGUGGGGUGGCUUGUGUUGUGUCUUCCUCUUCUGCCUCUGAGGAGGAGUUGGAAGAUAAGGCUGAAGAGGAAGGGGCUGGGGAUUUUGGGCAGAUGGUCAGGCCUGCUCCGGAGGAAGAAGAAGAGGAGGGAGGCACACUGGUUGCUCCAACUUUUCAAGAACGAAAAAGGGAGCAACAAGCAAGGAAUAGGUCCACUGGGAUUGCUGAAAAGACACACAGCAAUCAGAUCACUCCCUAGAGACACAUGUGCUCUGGGCUGAAGGCUAUAAAUCAGGAGCCGGGAAUACAGCCAUCGCUGGAAGCAACAGAUCCAGUUACCUAGCCUUUGACCCUGUAUCUGUUCCAGCACGUAGCCUCGCCUUUCAAGUGAGAAAGAUUCCCAUAACUCUGAGGAACGUACAUCAUUGUGUUCAUCUGGCAGUUCUGGUAGCACCGAAACA